rnacentral:lncRNA from 1 species
CUUUAUUCCUCUCCAUGUAAUUCAGGACAAGCUGCAACUUCCCCCAGCUUAACACAAUGCCCAUACCUCAUACGAUAUGCGCCCUCCCGUUCCAUCCCUGGCCCCCUCAAACGAGACUUCUCACAAGGCUGAUUACAGAUGGUCAAACCUGGCUUCCAAGGACAGAAUUGCCUCUCGGAAGCCAGCUGUGGAUCUGAGUCCAGAGUUGGCCACUUGUGUGGGUCCUCACAAGCAAAGAGAGCACUAAACUUGACAUUGGGGGUCCACCACUCCAACUUUGCUUUCUGAAGGUUUUGGUGUACAUUGAGCCCCAGAAGGAAAGGAGAGUAUCUGUGAGUGGGGGCCUCCCUUGACCCCAGUACGAAGUCUAUGCCCUGAAUCCCCAGAGUAGCCCUUCCUGGUGCCCAACUGGCCUGGGGACAAACAGCGUCCACUACAUCUAGGACUGCCGGCUAAGUGGACACACUUCUUGACCUCCUACCAGGAACUUUGGUAAAAGCUAGCUUUGGGGAAGGGGUUGGGUGUAAAUAUGAGAGGGUGGAGGGAGACCAGCUGGUAGCAAUAAACAUGGGUAGAACUAAAUUACCGUCUCCAGUUAUCUUUUCUAUGGAGAGAGUGUUGUGGGGAGGGGCAGACCGGUCUCCUUCAAAGCUGGCCUCAGCAAAGUGUCCCUCACUGUCCUUUCAGGUCCAUCUUUCCCUUCCCUUAAAUGUUCAGUGCCCUUGACUCUGCUGACCUAAAGCUCCAGUCUGAAGCCCUAGCUGGCUCUGCCCUCCCCUCUAACCAGCCCUCCUCAGAACAAGGCUCAAGCUCCCAUGACCACGGGCUUUGCUGGGGUCCAAGAGGUGUAGGGGGGAAUGGCUAUUUCCCUCAUCCAAUAACUGUUCAUUUUAACAGGGCCCUUAAAGACCUUCACCCGUGUGAAGAAAGGCCUGCACUGAGGAGCUGUCCAGGAUCUAAGAGGGGGAGAUUUGGGGUCAGCAUGGCCUUUCCUCUGAAGUCACCUUUUCCUGGCCCCCACCCUGUACCCACUAAAGCAGUGCCAUCUCCUGGGAGAAAAGGAGAACAUAUACAUAGAAUAAAGACUAUGAAGAUCUGCACCAAAUGACUACUACUGGUGAUCUUGUGAGGCGUGUGGGGUGGGACUAGGGGAGUGAGGGAGAAAAAUGCUCACUUUCUACAUUCUUCUUUUAUUUGCACUUCAAAAGUAUUAUUUUUAUAUCUAUGAAGAAAAGGAAACUGCAUUUCAAUUUUUGAAAAAAAAAAUAAAACUAAAUUAAC